rnacentral:tRNA from 1 species
GUCUCUGUAGUUUAACGGAUUAGAACACUGGCCUCCGAAGCCGGCAAUACCAGUUCGAUUCUGGUCAGAGGCA